rnacentral:lncRNA from 1 species
AAAGUAUAAAAUUGAGAAUGGAAAUGGGGAAUGUGCCAAAGAGACAACAACCCGACCAUAGAAAAAAAAAACAACAGCAGAAGGUCACCAACAGGUCUUCAAUGUAGCGAGAAAUUCCCGCACCCGGAGGCGUCCUUCAACUGGCCCCUAAACAAAUAUAUACUAGUUCAGUGAUAAUGAACGCCAUACUAAUUUCCAAAUUGUACACAAGAAACUAAAAUUAAAAUAAUACAAGACUAACAAAGGCCAGAGGCUCCUGGCUUGGGACAGGCGCAAAAAUGCGGCGGGGUUAAACAUGUUUGUGAGAUCUCAACCCUCCCCCUAUAUCUCUAGCCAAUGUAGAAAAGUAAACGCAUAAC